rnacentral:rRNA from 1 species
GUAAGCUACUAAGAGCGAAUGGUGGAUGCCUUGACUGGUAAAGGCGAUGAAGGACGUACUAGACUGCGAUAAGCUACGGGGAGCUGUCAAGAAGCUUUGAUCCGUAGAUUUCCGAAUGGGGCAACCCAAUGUAUAGAGAUAUACAUUACCUAAUAUAGGAGCGAACGAGGGGAAUUGAAACAUCUUAGUACCCUCAGGAAAAGAAAUCAAUAGAGAUUGCGUCAGUAGCGGCGAGCGAAAGCGCAAGAGGGCAAACCCAGUGCUUGCACUGGGGGUUGUAGGACUGCAAUGUGCAAGAGGUGAGUUUAGCAGAACAUUCUGGAAAGUAUAGCCAUAGAGGGUGAUAGUCCCGUAUGCGAAAAACAAACCUUAGCUAGCAGUAUCCUGAGUAGGGCGGGACACGAGAAAUCCUGUCUGAAGCUGGGUCGACCACGAUCCAACCCUAAAUACUAAUACCAGAUCGAUAGUGCACAAGUACCGUGAGGGAAAGGUGAAAAGAACUGAGGUGAUCAGAGUGAAAUAGAACCUGAAACCAUUUGCUUACAAUCAUUCAGAGCACUAUGUAGCAAUACAGUGUGAUGGACUGCCUUUUGCAUAAUGAGCCUGCGAGUUGUGGUGUCUGGCAAGGUUAAGCAAACGCGAAGCCGUAGCGAAAGCGAGUCUGAAUAGGGCGCUUAGUCAGAUGCUGCAGACCCGAAACGAAGUGAUCUAUCCAUGAGCAAGUUGAAGCUAGUGUAAGAACUAGUGGAGGACUGAACCCAUAGGCGUUGAAAAGCCCCGGGAUGACUUGUGGAUAGGGGUGAAAGGCCAAUCAAACUUCGUGAUAGCUGGUUCUCUCCGAAAUAUAUUUAGGUAUAGCGUUGUGUCGUAAUAUAAGGGGGUAGAGCACUGAAUGGGCUAGGGCAUACACCAAUGUACCAAACCCUAUCAAACUCCGAAUACCUUAUAUGUAAUCACAGCAGUCAGGCGGCGAGUGAUAAAAUCCGUCGUCAAGAGGGAAACAACCCAGACUACCAGCUAAGGUCCCUAAAUCUUACUUAAGUGGAAAACGAUGUGAAGUUACUUAAACAACCAGGAGGUUGGCUUAGAAGCAGCCAUCCUUUAAAGAAAGCGUAAUAGCUCACUGGUCUAGUGAUUUUGCGCGGAAAAUAUAACGGGGCUAAAGUAAGUACCGAAGCUGUAGACUUGACUUUGUCAAGUGGUAGGAGAGCGUUCUAUUUGCGUCGAAGGUAUACCGGUAAGGAGUGCUGGAGCGAAUAGAAGUGAGCAUGCAGGCAUGAGUAGCGAUAAUUAAUGUGAGAAUCAUUAACGCCGUAAACCCAAGGUUUCCUACGCGAUGCUCGUCAUCGUAGGGUUAGUCGGGUCCUAAGUCGAGUCCGAAAGGGGUAGACGAUGGCAAAUUGGUUAAUAUUCCAAUACCAACAUUAGUGUGCGAUGGAAGGACGCUUAGGGCUAAGGGGGCUAGCGGAUGGAAGUGCUAGUCUAAGGUCGUAGGUGCUUAUACAGGCAAAUCCGUAUAAGAAUACACCGAGAACUGAAAGGCUUUUUGAAGUCUUCGGAUGGAUAGAAGAACCCCUGAUGCCGUCGAGCCAAGAAAAGUUUCUAAGUUUAGCUAAUGUUGCCCGUACCGUAAACCGACACAGGUGGGUGGGAUGAGUAUUCUAAGGCGCGUGGAAGAACUCUCUUUAAGGAACUCUGCAAAAUAGCACCGUAUCUUCGGUAUAAGGUGUGGUUCGCUUCGUAUUAGGAUUUACUCCGAAAGCGAAGAAACUUACAACAAAGAGUCCCUCCCGACUGUUUACCAAAAACACAGCACUCUGCUAACUCGUAAGAGGAUGUAUAGGGUGUGACGCCUGCCCGGUGCUCGAAGGUUAAUUGAUGGGGUUAGCAUUAGCGAAGCUCUUGAUCGAAGCCCGAGUAAACGGCGGCCGUAACUAUAACGGUCCUAAGGUAGCGAAAUUCCUUGUCGGUUAAAUACCGACCUGCAUGAAUGGCGUAACGAGAUGGGAGCUGUCUCAAAGAGGGAUCCAGUGAAAUUGUAGUGGAGGUGAAAAUUCCUCCUACCCGCGGCAAGACGGAAAGACCCCGUGGACCUUUACUACAGCUUGACACUGCUAUUUGGAUAAGAAUGUGCAGGAUAGGUGGGAGGCUUUGAGUAUAUGACGCCAGUUGUAUAUGAGCCAUUGUUGAGAUACCACUCUUUCUUAUUUGGGUAGCUAACCAGCUUGAGUUAUCCUCAAGUGGGACAAUGUCUGGUGGGUAGUUUGACUGGGGCGGUCGCCUCCCAAAUAAUAACGGAGGCUUACAAAGGUUGGCUCAGAACGGUUGGAAAUCGUUCGUAGAGUAUAAAGGUAUAAGCCAGCUUAACUGCAAGACAUACAAGUCAAGCAGAGACGAAAGUCGGUCUUAGUGAUCCGGUGGUUCUGUGUGGAAGGGCCAUCGCUCAAAGGAUAAAAGGUACCCCGGGGAUAACAGGCUGAUCUCCCCCAAGAGCUCACAUCGACGGGGAGGUUUGGCACCUCGAUGUCGGCUCAUCGCAUCCUGGGGCUGGAGCAGGUCCCAAGGGUAUGGCUGUUCGCCAUUUAAAGCGGUACGCGAGCUGGGUUCAGAACGUCGUGAGACAGUUCGGUCCCUAUCUGCCGUGGGCGUAAGAAGAUUGAAGAGAUUUGACCCUAGUACGAGAGGACCGGGUUGAACAAACCACUGGUGUAGCUGUUGUUCUGCCAAGAGCAUCGCAGCGUAGCUAAGUUUGGAAAGGAUAAACGCUGAAAGCAUCUAAGCGUGAAGCCAACUCUAAGAUGAAUCUUCUCUAAGCUCUCUAGAAGACUACUAGUUUGAUAGGCUGGGUGUGUAAUGGAUGAAAGUCCUUUAGCUGACCAGUACUAAUAGAGCGUUUGGCUUAUCUUUA